AUGGCGGCGGCGGCAGAUGCGUUUUCUUCAAUGAACCUCGGGUCCCAAGGGAGAGACGACGACCUUGGGGAUUUCUUUGACAAGCUGGACCUCCAUGAGGAGGAGUUUGCUGAUGUUGUGGUUGAGGAGGAAGCUCCAGAGCUGCUGGAGGGGAUUCGUUGGGUCGCCCUUGCUAGGGUUCAGACCAUGAAUUUUUUUAGCCAAUCGGCCUUCUACAAGGAUAUGCGGGCGGCAUGGAAUUGCUCCCAGGUAGUUCGCUUCCGGCCAAUUGGCCCCAAUCUAUUCGUGGUGCAGGCUUACUGUCUUGCUGAUUGGGAUCACAUUAUGGGACAAGGACCUUGGCUGUUUCGCAACAUGGCUGUCCUGUUAGUGCCAUAUGAUGGGUUCACGAACGCCGAAGAGGUGCCAAUAUUGUACAUGCCUAUCUGGCUC
rnacentral:rRNA from 1 species